rnacentral:lncRNA from 1 species
UGUGGAAUAUGGGCUAAACGUGUUAGUGUUUAAUUACAAGAAUUCAAGAAGGAUCUACACGUAACAAAAAUACUUGGGUGAAUUUAUAUAUAUGAUAGAGCUAAAAUUUAAAAUGUAUGACCCUACAUAUAUCACAACCAGUUAAAUGGAUUAGAUGUUAACUCGAUCAAGAAUUAUAAUAAGAUAAAUUAACGGUCUUAAAUUUGAGACUUGAGAAUAAAAAAAAUGAGUGAUUAGUUUAGUCUGGUUCAAAUACUUCCUCUUUCUUUUCUCUUUCUUUUUAUUUGGUUUACCCUUUUUUUUAGCAACUUUCACACAUAGCAAACAUAAAAAUCAUAUUUGUAUGUUAUAGUUAUAGUUUGUAUAAUUGUGCUCCAUACCAAACUUUAUGUUUGCUAUGGAGCAUCAGUUUGUAUAACUUGUUGACAAUGCUUCAGAUUUGUAUAAUUUCACUGGCAGACCAUUUGUAUAAAUCGCCGACAGCCUCUCGUUUGUAUAAAUCGCUGACAGCCUCUCAAUUCAAUUUUAUGUGUUUGUAUAUCUGCAUAAAAUUUGAAUUUGUAUAUAAUUGAAUCGAAAUAAAAUAUUUGUAUAUCAAAUCUCUCUCUCUCUCUCUCACUUUAUACAACAUAAAUUAUACAUUGUAAUUUGUAUAAUCUGUGUUUGUAUAAAGCGAGAAAGAGAGAAAGACAAAAGAGAACUGGGCAGGAGAAGAUCUGUAUUUGUAUAAUUAUAAGUGUAUAGGACGAAAAUAUAUGUAUUUGUAUUUGUAUAUAUAGUUUUCUCUCGCUUUAUACAAGCACAAACGCAUUUUAUACAUUUGUGUUUGUAUAAAUGCGAGAGAGGCGAGGGAGAGACUGGCGAGCGAGAAACCUAGGGAGAGAGGCGAAUGGCAACAGUUUUGUAGCGACCCUUUCGAAAGGAUACUACCACUUAAACAAGAAAUCUAAUUAAACUUGAGACAUUUAAAAGAGGUUAACUAUGGCCAUAUUGAUUUUAAUCUAGUAGAGGGAUUAGGUUCAUAACGAAUAAUUUAGUUAAGGAUAUACAUCUUGCCCAUUUAAACAUAAGAGUUAUAGGUAUACGAAUUAGCUUUCCAAAACAUAUUUAUUCACUGAAAAGUGAGUUCUAGAGAACGAGAUAUUCCAAAAGUACUAAACACUACUUAGCUCAAAAACAGAUUUCGACUACUCACCAAAGAGAAGGGUGUAUCCCGAAUUCCAGCCAAAAGGACCAAGUUUUUCUCUUGUGAUUUUGAGAGUAAUAUGGUUAGAGAGAGUUCACCAGGUUUCUUAGAGCUAAGGAACACGAAUUUCACUAUAGAAGAGGUGUAAACAUAUAGUCUCAAGAGUGAUGUUUAUCACAUGCACAUCUGUCUCCAAAAGGUGGCUGCCC